rnacentral:rRNA from 1 species
AGCCCUUGACAUGGACGUCGCGACUUCAGAGAUGAAGUUUUCGGUUCGGCCGGACGUUACACAGGUGCUGCAUGGUUGUCGUCAGCUCGUGUCGUGAGAUGUUGGGUUAAGUCCCGCAACGAGCGCAACCCCUGUCCUUAGUUGCCAUCAGGUAAUGCUGGGAACUCUAGGGAUACUGCCUGGUUUAACCAGGAGGAAGGUGGGGAUGACGUCAAAUCAUCAUGGCCCUUACGACCAGGGCUAGACACGUGCUACAAUGGACGGUACAAUGGGAUGCCAAGUCGCGAGACCGAGCGAAUCCUCAAAACCGUUCUCAGUUCGGAUAGGAGUCUGCAAUUCGACUCCUUGAAGUUGGAAUCGCUAGUAAUCGUGGAUCAGCAUGCCACGGUGAAUACGUUCCCGGGCCU